UGUGUUGACGUGAAACAUGCAAUCCUGCCAAGCAGCCUUGGGAGGGACUGCACGUGCCCACUAUGCCCUGUGAGGGAAGCUGAAUUAUUGCCUCUGCGGCGAGGGAGGCCCUCCGCAGAAGACACAACAGGAAGGCUGUGAGAACGUUUGUUAACACAAAGGACACGGUAUCCAUUUCCCUCCAGCUCCAAGGAAUCAGAAACUUGAGGGUGCGGCUUCUUUAAGAGGCAAACCAAAAGCACUACAAAUCCCGGCCGGCCCCGAAGAGGAGGCGGAGUCUGUACUGCACUGCGCACGCGCCGUUCGCACGCGGUUCCGGGUCUUGGUGUUCGGUUCGCAGAACCGCAGACCGUCUUGAGCGAGGCUGUAAAAUUUAGGAAGCUGCUUCUGUCUCUCUCCGGUUCCCGGAUCGCCCGCCGUGUCACGUAGAGGUGAUCGGGGAGGGCCGGCGGCUGGGUUCAAACUCGCGCUGAGCCACGAUGACCCAGUCUUUGGUUUGCCCCGAGACCGUGAGCCGGGUAAGUUCUGUGCUUAAUCGCAACAGCCGGCAAUUUGGGAAGAAAUAUCUUUUUGACGAGGACGAGGAAACAUGCUGGAAUUCCGACCAGGGCCCCUCCCAGUGGGUGACACUCGAGUUUCCCCAUCGUGUUCACAUCACACAGCUGCAGGUGCAGUUCCAGGGCGGCUUCUCCAGUCGCCACAGCUGCCUGGAAGGUACUGGAAGGUCGCAAGAGGUGGGGGUCAAGGGGUUCCCUGGAUUCUCAGCCUCUUUCUGCACUGCAGGUUCACAAGGUGGGGACACCCUCCGUAAGAUUGUGGACUUCUACCCUGAGGAUACCAACGCCCUUCAAAUAUCCUGCUUGGUCUGGGGUGUGAGGGACCUGGUCUUCUGAAGGCCUUGCAAGCACUGGGGCCAGCCUGGCAUAUAACCACACUGUGCCUUCUACACGAGAGCAGGAGCCAUCGCAAGGAGGAGGGUCAGGAGUAGUCAUCCUCUGCUACAAGGCCACACCUUCUCCAUUCCUACUGUGGAGGUGGACCGGCUGAAGCUGACCUUUGAGGACACCACGGACUUUUUUGGUCGUGUGGUCGUUUACCACCUGCGGGUGUUGGGUGAGAAGGCAGUGUGAGAGCAUCGGCGCCACCUCCAGGAAGACCCCUGGGAGGCACCAGAAGCCCUUCAACUUCUGCACAGAUUUAUUGGUUCCUGUUGGGGAGGAUCCCUUCCCACCACUGUCCGGGAGCUGCCUCAAGCCAGUUGUGGGGCAGCCUGGCUUAUUCCCUGAGUGCCUGGGUCCCCAGCAGGCCAUCUUCACUCUGGGUCUGCAGGCCCCAGAGUUCUCUGGAACAGUUGGAGGAUGUGGUUCUCCAUCACCUGUUGCACUGUGGGAGGAGGUGGGAGGCAGUGUGAGCAGGAGGGGGAGGUGUGAGCGGGAGAGGCUGCUGGAGGCCUUGAGCAGAGUGUAGCCACCAGGAGGUGACUCAGCCCAGCCCUGAGCCUGGGACCCUCCAAGGUCCAGCAGGGUGGGGUGGAGCUACCUUGGGGCUGUUUUAAGAAGAGGCCUUUCCUCCACUUGGUGCUUCCCGCCCACACUAUCCACUAAGUCAGAGCAAUACCAGACCCUCAGCCAAUGAGACCACACCACUAUAGCUUUCCCAGCCUCCAGAACCAUGAAUCCAAAUAAAACUUCAAAACCAAAA